rnacentral:lncRNA from 1 species
UUAUAAAUUGGUCAUAAGUGUGUGAAUUAGUGAAAAUUUGGAGUUUCCAUAGCAGAGAAAAAUGUUCAGCAUGUCUUAAACCUUAUAGAAAUUGAAUAAAAAAUUAUUUUACGAGCCUGGGGUAAAAGUGUAAUUUUUGAAAAGUUAGGGGGCAUAAUUGUAAAUUUUCCAAAUUUUGAUAUAUGAAUUGAAUUGGUUAGUGUGUU